AGCAGCCGCGGUAAUUCCAGCUCCAAUAGCGUAUAUUAAAGUUGUUGCAGUUAAAAAGCUCGUAGUUGAAUUUCGGGAUUAGUACGCUGGUCGUGCCUUCGGUAUGUACUGGUGUUACUGAUUCCUACCUUCUGAAGAACCGUCAUGUCAUUAAUUUGGUGUGGCGGGGAAUCAGGACUGUUACUUUGAAAAAUUUGAGUGUUUAAAGCAGGCUCGCGCUUGAAUACAUUAGCAUGGAAUAAUGAAAUAGGACGUUCGAUCCUAUUUUGUUGGUUUCUAGGAUUGACGUAAUGAUUAAUAGGGAUAGUUGGGGCAUUAGUAUUCAAUUGUCAGAGGUGAAAUUCUUGGAUUUAUUGAAGACUAACUACUGCGAAAGCAUUUGCC
rnacentral:rRNA from 1 species